rnacentral:tRNA from 1 species
CAAAUUAGAGCUUGAAUUAAGUUUUUUAUUUACACUAAGAAGAUGAUUGGUAUCCAAUUUAAUUUGA